AGGUGACAUUGACAGAGUUUUAAAAAGAAAUUUUAAAUUUAGAAAUAUGGUGAUGUUUCGUUUCGUGUCAUAAACCGGGCGAAAUUUUUCAUGUGAAUAAAAUUUCUGUAAAAACAAUAUGCAUGUUAAAUUACUGUGGAAUGUCGCUAGGAUAAUCUUGAUAUCGGGAUUAUCUUUUGGCGUCUGAUUAAUACAAAAUAAAUGUUAGAGAAGUUGCCGUGCCCUGUCUAGAAAUAGCUGGCCUUUACAUAUCUUAUCUAUGAUUUGCGGUCCAGUGUACGCUUUCAUAUCGGGCGUAGUGCUAUUUGCCUGUCUCAAAUAUUUGCAAGUUCGGACUGGGCACGACAAUAAAAUUUGCAAGUGCGGUGGUCAGCCACGAUAACCUACACAAGUGACUCGCUUAAGGUGCCAGAGUAACUGUCAAAGCUUCAAGAUGGUUUGUAUAAGUUGCGGUGCCUUAAUAACUAUACUGGGGUUGGUAGUCGUUGGACCAAUCAUAUGUGAAAGAAUCCUGUGUUGUUUAGGAAGUAGUAAGAAAAAAAUGAAAUGUUGAGUUUCAAGUUCUGUUUACCUAGCUUAUUUUGAUGUACCUAUAUUUCAAUUUCCAUGUAACUUAAUUCGAAUAUAAUUACAUAAUUAAACACUA